rnacentral:rRNA from 1 species
CAGUAGCCGCGGUAAAACGUAGGGGGCAAGCGUUAUCCGGAAUAGCUGGCGUAAAGGGUGCGCAGGUGGUUUAACAAGUUAGUGGUGAAAGGCAUAGGCUCAACCAAUGUAAGCCAUUAAAACUGUAUAACUUGAGUGCAGGAGAGGAAAGUGGAAUUCCUAGUGUAGCGGUGAAAUGCGUAGAUAUUAGGAGGAAUACCAGUGGCGAAGGCGACUUUCUGGACUGCAACUGACACUGAGGCACGAAAGCGUGGGGAGCAAACAGGAUUAGAUACCCAAGUAGUCCCUGUCUCUUAUACAC